rnacentral:rRNA from 1 species
CCUACGGGUGGCAGCAGUGAGGAAUAUUGGUCAAUGGGCGGAAGCCUGAACCAGCCAAGUCGCGUGAGGGAAUAAGGCCCUACGGGUCGUAAACCUCUUUUGCCGGGGAGCAAGGGCCGGGACGCGUCCCGGCCCGGAGAGUACCCGGAGAAAAAGCAUCGGCUAACUCCGUGCCAGCAGCCGCGGUAAUACGGAGGAUGCGAGCGUUAUCCGGAUUUAUUGGGUUUAAAGGGUGCGUAGGCGGGCAUUUAAGCCGGCGGUCAAAUGUCGGGGCUCAACCCCGGCCUGCCGUCGGAACUGGGUGCCUUGAGUGGGCGAGAAGUAUGCGGAAUUCGUGGUGUAGCGGUGAAAUGCUUAGAUAUCACGAAGAACCCCGAUUGCGAAGGCAGCUUACUAAACUGUGACUGACAUUGAUACCCGAGUAGUC